rnacentral:rRNA from 1 species
GGAAUCUUCCACAAUGGGCGAAAGCCUGAUGGAGCAACGCCGCGUGUGUGAUGAAGGCUUUCGGGUCGUAAAGCACUGUUGUAUGGGAAGAACAGCUAGAAUAGGGAAUGAUUUUAGUUUGACGGUACCAUACCAGAAAGGGACGGCUAAAUACGUGCCAGCAGACGCGGUAAUACGUAUGUCCCGAGCGUUAUCCGGAUUUAUUGGGCGUAAAGCGAGCGCAGGCGGUUUGAUAAGUCUGAUGUGAAAGCCUUUGGCUUAACCAAAGAAGUGCAUCGGAAACUGUCAGACUUGAGUGCAGAAGAGGACAGUGGAACUCCAUGUGUAGCGGUGGAAUGCGUAGAUAUAUGGAAGAACACCAGUGGCGAAGGCGGCUUACUGGACUGUAACUGACGUUGAGGCUCGAAAGUGUGGGUAGCAAACA